AUUCAUGCAACAAGCAGUACCUUUACCCUUCGCCACCAAGGUGUAUCAUGUGGUCCAUAUUGUCGCUCCACCAAUUGUCCACACGCAUGUGCAAUCACAUUUUAAAGAUCAUCAUCAGAUAUAACAUGCUCCUGAAUCUUAUGAUGAAGAGGAUGAAAUGCAUGAGGAUAUAAGGGGCAUAAAGGAAAAUUACCAGAUC
rnacentral:lncRNA from 1 species